GCCCUCGUAGCUCAGGGGAUAGAGCAACGGCCUCCGGAGCCGUGUGCGCAGGUUCGAAUCCUGCCGAGGGCG
rnacentral:tRNA from 2 species